UACGGAGGGUGCGAGCGUUGUUCGGAAUCACUGGGCGUAAAGGGCGUGUAGGCGGUCUGUUAAGUCUGAUGUGAAAGCCCGGGGCUCACCCCCCGGAAGUGCAUUGGAUACUGGCGGACUCGAGUCUCGGAGAGGAGGGUGGGAAUUCCUGGUGUAGCGGUGAAAUGCGUAGAUAUCAGGAGGAACACCGGUGGCGAAGGCGGCCCUCUGGACGAUGACUGACGCUGAGACGCGAAAGCGUGGGUAGCAAACAGG
rnacentral:rRNA from 1 species